rnacentral:rRNA from 1 species
AGGCAUAAUGAAAGUGAAGAUUCCUCUUGUAGGAAUUGAGGAGAGAUCAUGGCAGAAAUUGUCAUUUGGAAACAUUUGAUGGUUGAUUGUGUGCGCAUCUCCUGGACGUCUAUACCUCUGAAGGUGGGGCGUACCUAGAGCAUACACGUUGGGACCCGAAAGAUGGUGAACUAUGCCUGGUCAGAACGAAGUCAGGGGAAACCCUGAUGGAGGUUCGUAGCGAUUCUGACGUGCAAAUCGAUCGUCGGAACUGGGUAUAGGGGCGAAAGACUAAUCGAACCAUCUAGUAGCUGGUUCCCUCCGAAGUUUCCCUCAGGAUAGCUGGCGCUUGAUUAAACCAGUCUCAUCCGGUAAAGCGAAUGAUUAGAGGCCUUGGGGCCGAAACGACCUCAACCUAUUCUCAAACUUUAAAUGGGUGAGAAGUCUGGCUUGCUUGAACUGAAGCUCGGACAUUAUUUUGGAUGGUGAGUGCCAAGUGGGCCACUCUUGG